ACAAGCGGUGGAGUAUGUGGUUUAAUUCGAUGCAACGCGAAGAACCUUACCUGGUCUUGACAUCCCGGAGACCCUUAGGAAACUAGGGGGUGCUUCCAUCUGGAAGAAUCUGGAGACAGGUGCUGCAUGGCUGUCGUCAGCUCGUGUCGUGAGAUGUUGGGUUAAGUCCCGCAACGAGCGCAACCCUUGCCUUUAGUUGCCAGCAGUUCGGCUGGGCACUCUAAAGGGACUGCCGGUGUUAAACCGGAGGAAGGUGGGGAUGACGUCAAGUCCUCAUGGCCUUUAUGACCAGGGCUACACACGUACUACAAUGGCCGAUACAAAGGGCAGCGACACUGCGAGGUGAAGCCAAUCCCGUAAAAUCGGUCUCAGUCCGGAUUGGAGUCUGCAACUCGACUCCAUGAAGUUGGAAUCGCUAGUAAUCGUGGAUCAGCAUGUCGCGGUGAAUGCGUUCCCGGGCCUU
rnacentral:rRNA from 1 species